GAAAAAUGGACUAUCCAGUUUUUUGAGUCUGUCAGAGAAGACUGUUGGCUCCAGAUUUGAUGACUUUUGUUUUUAAAUCCUAAUGCAGACGUGAUUGCUUCUGGUGGUUUACUUAGACAUCAGCAACAGCCGCCAGCUGGCAGCACCUAUCUGGGAGACUUGAAGCAAACAGUUCAUUUCGAAGUAAGCCCCAUCUCUCCUAGGGAGAUCUUUCACAGUGUGAACGGACGGCAUUCUGAGAGGAUCCCAGAUGAGAUACAUACCAGCGUGGAAAAUAUGGUUGAUGUGCCAGAGCUGCGCCAUUCUAUUUAAAAAUAUCUAUCUCAGAGGGAUUUUUGAAAUAUUUGAAGUAAAACCAUGGCAGCAUCUUCGCUAUCCUGCCCUGACUGUGCUUCUGUGGAUGUGCCUUUU